rnacentral:rRNA from 1 species
CAAUAGCGUAUAUUUAAGUUGCUGCAGUUAAAAAGCUCGUAGUUGGAUUUCGGGUGGGAAUGGCCGGUCCGCCGUUUCGGUGUGCACUUGCUACGCCCACCUUGCUGCCGGGGACGUGCUCUUGAGUUCACGCUCGGGACACGGAGUCGGCGAGGUUACUUUGAGUAAAUUAGAGUGUUCAAAGCAGGCCUACGCUCUGAAUACAUUAGCAUGGAAUAACAAGAUAGGACUCUGGCCUAUCUUGUUGGUCUGUAGGACCGGAGUAAUGAUUAAGAGGGACAGUCGGGGGCAUUCGUAUUUCAUUGUCAGAGGUGAAAUUCUUGGAUUUAUGAAAGACGAACUACUGCGAAAGCAUUUGCCAAGGAUGUUUUCAUUAA